rnacentral:lncRNA from 1 species
CAUGUUCCAUUUAAACAGAUUGAAGUACUGUAAAGCAUUCCAGCAAAUCUUGCCUUACAAAAACCCAAUUCCAUGUAUUAAGAAAAGGAUAAAAAAGAUCAAAGGAGAUCAAUCUCAAUCUCAAGUCGUGACUUAAAUGUUUUUCCAGCAUAACAAAACAAAUAAGUGAGAAUAAAAAGAGUAGAAAACGUCCAUUGGUUUGGCCUACGUAUCCCUUGUUUCAGUCCCCUUUGCCUGGCUACCUCUUCAAGAUGCGCAUUUGAUUCCAUCUUCAUUUCUGCACUAAGAAAGAACGAGCGGAGAAAAAGUAUAAUAUGUAGUAAAAGUCUAUUCGGCUAAAUUUUUUAUAUGAAAAAAGGAGCUUAUGAUCAGAAGGAACAAACAAUAAUCCCUGUGAGUCAUCACACCACAUACUACACAAAGCUAGGAAAGAAAAAGGAAAAAAAAAGGUUUUCUUUAGCUUUGUAAGGCCUGCCGACAUCAAGCUUAAAAAUAUAUAUUUCAAAUAAUUUCUAACAAAAUAAUGGAAAUACCAAAAUAAGAUAAAACACUCGUUCGGGAACGACCCCGGCCAACCCACACCAGCUGAAAAAGUUGGGAAAAUGAUGUAAAAACUGCAGACGAAAUACUUGUUUUAUUAUCAAACAAAAAUUAAAGCAUCAGCACGUUCAAAUCCAACAUAGAAUCCAAGAAAAUCUAACAGGCAAACCGACAGUCGACAGAAAGAUGAUUACACAUCGGAACAAAGGUAGCAAAACAUCGCUCCAGCCCCCGUCCAACCAGAAUAAAAUGCUGAGGCCUGCACCAAGGUGGAAAUUUACCAUGGAAUCUGGUCCUCUGUAGGCAUACAAGAGGAAAUAAGAGGAAAACAACGAGACCCAACAACAAGAGAUGAAAGAGAAUGGUAAGUAACAGAGAGUUUAGAUGUAGAGCUCCCUUCAAUCCAAACGAAGAUCGAGAAGGGUUAAUGCAGCUCCUGGGUCAUGCAAACCACAAGCCUAUUCCAAAUCCCAAAAGAACUCCCUCUCUCUCACCAUUGGCGUCAAAACAAAACCAUGGGAUAGGAUAGUGGAAUCCAUGUCUCAGCAGCUAAAUCCACCCCUCGAAAACCCUCCUUUGGAUCUCAAGGAGCUCUACCUCAAAUCCUAUAUCCCAGAAUCCCAGACAAAAAUCAACUUCUAACCAAAAAAAAAAACAUGAAGAAGAAGAACAAACUUGUAAACUUAAAUAUCAAAGGAGAACCCGAAGCCAGAAGCUAUGAAAAUAAAAUACCAUCAUCCGAACCAUUCCCAAGCUCAAACCCAGAACAUGGGAACAUUCAGAUUGCAGAGAAGGGACUAGUUCAGCUGGUAUUACUUACUACUUAGGGCGUAAUGGUAAGAGCAGGAGGAGUGGGUGUUCUUAUAGAAAGACUUGGGGUUGGGUGGUGCGCUUUAGGGGUCUUUCUUUACUCUCUUUUCUGCAUCAUAUCUAGAGCAAGCCAUCGGAAACGGCUUGCAUAGAUUCCUCUGACUUCUCUGAUCACACUCACAUGUCUGGUGGACUCCCACCUCCCCGUCUCUUCAUUCCAAUCCACCGCGUUCAUCUGUGUACGUGGAUAGGAUCAGGCCCGUGUGAAGCUCUUCCCGUACGUAGUCAGGCUGGUGGCAAAUGGUCUGUCAUUUAAAACAUCACUUUGGAAAGCCCCAGGGAGCUUAAGACAAAAGGCACAUACGGGUAACUACGGCUUAGAGCAAGUUUUUGCUUGAAAGAAUCUAAACAAGAACUAGGAUUGCUAGAAGAAGCUCUCUCUCUA